GUGGGGGAUAUUGCACAAUGGGGGGAACCCUGAUGCAGCGACGCCGCGUGAAGGAAGAAGUAUUUCGGUAUGUAAACUUCUAUCAGCAGGGAAGAAAAUGACGGUACCUGACUAAGAAGCCCCGGCUAACUAUGUGCCAGCAGCCGCGGUAAUACAUAGGGGGCAAGCGUUAUCCGGAAUGACUGGGUGUAAAGGGAGCGUAGGCGGAAUGGCAAGUCUGAUGUGAAAACCCGGGGCUCAACCCCGGGCCUGCAUUGGAAACUGUUGUUCUAGAGAGCAGGAGAGGUAAGCGGAAUUCCUGGUGUAGCGGUGAAAUGCGUAGAUAUCAGGAGGAACACCGGUGGCGAAGGCGGCUUACUGGACUGUUACUGACGCUGAGGCUCGAAAGCGUGGGGAGCAAACAGGAUUAGAAACCCUAGUAGUCC
rnacentral:rRNA from 1 species